rnacentral:tRNA from 1 species
GCCUUCGUAGCUCAGUUGGAAGAGCGCCACUCUCGUAAAGUGGAGGUCCCGGGUUCAACUCCCGGCGAAGGCU